ensembl:lncRNA
AAAUCCUAUGUUAUGUUGACCUUGGAGUCCACUGUUAACCUAUUGCUGAUUUGUAAUCCUUAGGAAUGCACAGAAGGGGAGUCUUGUCUGAGGAGUUAUCAUUCUUUAGUGGGGAUGUAAACCAGAUGCUGUAAUUCUAUACGUUUUCAGAAGGUAUAAAAACUGACCGUUGGUCUUUGUUCGAGGAGGAUCAUUGGGCGACAUCCUUCCAGACAACUUCUGUCUGUAUGAUACUGUUCUUUCUUUUAAUAAAGUUCUUAUUAAGAAAGUCAGUGUCAACGGGCGUUUCUUCUCCACCUGCACAUCACGGACAUCAGAGAAACAACGACAAAUUUGUGGCGUCACGAACAGGAUUAGAUGCAGGAUUCUUCGGCAGCUGGCAGCUCCCUUGGUCGCUCUUCACCGUCCUGAUUCGACGCGUCAGGAGACUAUCUGGGAAAUCGAGUAAAGAGCGGCUGUCGUUCAGAGAUCUCUACAGCCAAAUGGACUCAUAUGCUUGAAUAUGGACAAUGCAAUGGAGGAAGAAUCCGGAGUGAGGACAUUACAGUGAUGGCAUACUACGACUGGAACUGUUGAUGGACGACAGUUUGAUAUAUUCAUGUUUUCAUGUAUGCCUAUUGUAUGGAUUCUGUUUUCAUAUAUAAUCUGUUUUAUUAUUGGAUGCUUAUUCUUGUUUACACUAUUAUAUUAUGAGUUAGUGAUACUAUUAAUAUGUUAGUUUUUGAAUUUUAUGCCUAUAUGACUGAUAUGAGGUGUUUAUGACAGGGGGUUCAUUACUUGGAUGUUUUCUCUUAAGAGGUGAGUAUGUUGGGAUCUCAGGUGUUUUCUUUUUUUCGAUUGUUUAGGGGCAGUGAUGCUAGGCAGGGUCAGGUCCAUUGAAGGGUACGAUGGGUCGACCAGCCUGACAUUGGAUAUUUUUGAUUUUAUUUCUGGGAUUCCCAUGUGUAUUCGCUUCUACUUGUUUACAUACUUGUUUGGACCUCUUGUCUAAUUGGCUUGGAGUACUAUAUGUGGUCGCCUAGGGCAGAGGGACCGUGAGAGAAUUUUCCUGUCUUGUUUGUUCGAUGGAUGGUUUGGAAAGAUAGCUGCCGGGCAGGUUUUUCGCUCUCACACUCCGUUAAAUUGUUAUACUGUUGAGUUUAUGCUGUGAUUAGCACGGCUAAAUAGGAAUUGUCAUGUAUACUAUGUAAUCGAUACUAUAGUGAUGUUUUCGACGCUUUUUCAGCGCCGAAGGGGGGAAAUAUGAAGUAUCUGAUCUGAUAUGAGUUCUGAUAGUUGUUGACCAUAAAGUGAACCUUUAACUAACAGGAGGUAGUGAGUAUUGAGGAAUGUCUUUUCGGCUCCAGAAAUCCUAUGUUAUGUUGACCUUGGAGUCCACUGUUAACCUAUUGCUGAUUUGUAAUCCUUAGGAAUGCACAGAAGGGGAGUCUUGUCUGAGGAGUUAUCAUUCUUUAGUGGGGAUGUAAACCAGAUGCUGUAAUUCUAUACGUUUUCAGAAGGUAUAAAAACUGACCGUUGGUCUUUGUUCGAGGAGGAUCAUUGGGCGACAUCCUUCCAGACAACUUCUGUCUGUAUGAUACUGUUCUUUCUUUUAAUAAAGUUCUUAUUAAGAAAGUCAGUGUCAACGGGCGUUUCUUCUCCACCUGCACAUCACGGACAUCAGAGAAACAACGACAACUUCCU